CGGCGUGCCUAAUACAUGCAAGUCGAACGCUUUUUCUUUCACCGGAGCUUGCUCCACCGAAAGAAAAAGAGUGGCGAACGGGUGAGUAACACGUGGGUAACCUGCCCAUCAGAAGGGGAUAACACUUGGAAACAGGUGCUAAUACCGUAUAACACUAUUUUCCGCAUGGAAGAAAGUUGAAAGGCGCUUUUGCGUCACUGAUGGAUGGACCCGCGGUGCAUUAGCUAGUUGGUGAGGUAACGGCUCACCAAGGCAACGAUGCAUAGCCGACCUGAGAGGGUGAUCGGCCACACUGGGACUGAGACACGGCCCAGACUCCUACGGGAGGCAGCAGUAGGGAAUCUUCGGCAAUGGACGAAAGUCUGACCGAGCAACGCCGCGUGAGUGAAGAAGGUUUUCGGAUCGUAAAACUCUGUUGUUAGAGAAGAACAAGGAUGAGAGUAAAAUGUUCAUCCCUUGACGGUAUCUAACCAGAAAGCCACGGCUAACUACGUGCCAGCAGCCGCGGUAAUACGUAGGUGGCAAGCGUUGUCCGGAUUUAUUGGGCGUAAAGCGAGCGCAGGCGGUUUCUUAAGUCUGAUGUGAAAGCCCCCGGCUCAACCGGGGAGGGUCAUUGGAAACUGGGAGACUUGAGUGCAGAAGAGGAGAGUGGAAUUCCAUGUGUAGCGGUGAAAUGCGUAGAUAUAUGGAGGAACACCAGUGGCGAAGGCGGCUCUCUGGUCUGUAACUGACGCUGAGGCUCGAAAGCGUGGGGAGCGAACAGGAUUAGAUACCCUGGUAGUCCACGCCGUAAACGAUGAGUGCUAAGUGUUGGAGGGUUUCCGCCCUUCAGUGCUGCAGCAAACGCAUUAAGCACUCCGCCUGGGGAGUACGACCGCAAGGUUGAAACUCAAAGGAAUUGACGGGGGCCCGCACAAGCGGUGGAGCAUGUGGUUUAAUUCG
rnacentral:rRNA from 1 species